AAACAGAGUUCAUCCCUCUGUCUGUGAUGUGCAGAGGGGGCCCAGCAAAAGAAGUUGACAAUCAAACCAUUAACUUUCAAAGUGAUCUACCCCAGUAAAGGUGGUGUUUGCUCUGACUUCAAAACCAGAAACAUUGUAACUGGACAUCCUGCAUUUUAUUUGGCAACCCUACCUCCUGGACUAGGGCAAAGUCAUGAGGAACUCAAGAAGCUGUCUCCAGCCCUCUCCAGCAUAGGAAGACCAUACCACCAUCUCACCUUAAGGCUGCUGCACAUUGCAAGGACAGGAGACUUCUUUAUGUGCAAAUAAAGGCUGUCUGUAACUUUGUGGAGCUGUAUACACUGCGGGGAAAUGGUAUCAGUCAGGGUUUCAUCAAAGAAGCUGACCACUAGAGGUA